GAAAAAAGCAUCAUUUAUUUCAAAGUACAACACAAAGUUGUAUUUUUAAGAAAUACACAUUCAAUCUUGUAUCUCAAGACUUGGCUAUGUGCAUUUCAGUUCAUCUUUAAAAUAAGUUCAGGUAUACAAAUGUUACAUACCUCAAGUACAAACAGCACAGAAAAUGCAUAUGGUCUCAACUGAAUGUUUUUACAUUCAUUCACCGUUCUUAAGUUGACUUACAUUUCUGUAAUCUGCUUUUAAACCAAGACAGCCUUACUUUAAAAAAAUACUCUAUUUUCAGCACAAAGUCCUCAUACAGUUUUAAAAUUAGAUCUUGGCGCAUAAUAUUGAGAAAUUAUUAAAAACCAAACUUGGUAAUUUAACAAAAUUGUCACAUGCCAGGAUUUCUGAAUCAACUCAAAUUAUUUCCUUAGCUGUAAUGUCAAAUCUGUGUUCAUACAGAUAAAUAAAGCAUGGGGAAGACAGGUGGUGAAAACGCAGUAACGGGAAAGGUUCUCAGAUGUACAGGUCUUAUUAGAGUUUGUGGCUGAGUCCAGACUUUUCUCUAAAAGCACAACAGCAAAUCUCAUGUUAUCAUAAUUGCAAGAAAGAUCUGAAAGAAGCGAGUGGUCUGAGCCUGCCCUGCUUGGGUCUGUUUUGCAAAGAAGAGGAGGGUGGGGAGGGGAGCUGCAGUAAGAGCCUUAAAAAGAUGUCUCAGAAACUGGCACAUCAUGAUCUAGACGAGGGCCCACUAUGUUUGUUUGUUUUUUGCUUAAUUUAAUUCUCGUGAGGAAAGUGCGAAUUAGACCAAGGGUCCGAGCUUCUUCUUCCAAUCGUGGGGCUCCAUAUCCGCCACGGGUUGUAGGUCUGUCCCAAGUCGUCAGCUGGACUGGAGGUGGAGGGAGCGUGAGGCCUGAUUGCACGAUCGAGAUAAUCCGAGUUUGCUGAAAACUUC
rnacentral:lncRNA from 1 species